rnacentral:rRNA from 1 species
AUGGAGAUCGAACGCGCCGGCGACGAGGACGACGCGUCUCCGGUGGAGCAGGUCCGGCUGACGGUGCCGGUGACUGACGACCACUCGCUGCCGGUAUGGACGUUCCGGAUGUGGACGAUGGGCUUCCUCUCCUGCGCCCUCCUCUCCUUCCUCAACCAGUUCUUCGCCUACCGCGCCGAGCCCAUCAUCAUAAGCCAGAUCACCAUCCAGGUGGCGGCGCUGCCGAUCGGGCACUUCUUGUCGCGGGUGCUGCCGGAGAAGAAGUUCAGGGUGUUCGGGCGGGAGUGCUCGGUGAACCCGGGGCCCUUCAACGUGAAGGAGCACGUGCUGAUCUCCAUCUUCGCCAACGCCGGAGCCUCCUUCGGCGGCGGCAACGCCUACGCCAUCGGCAUCGUCACCAUCAUCAAGGCCUUCUACAAGCGCAACAUCUCCUUCGUCACCAGCCUGCUCCUCGUCAUCACGACCCAGGUGCUGGGGUACGGCUGGGCAGGGCUGAUGAGGAAGUACGUGGUGGAGCCGGCGCACAUGUGGUGGCCGACGAGCCUGGUGCAGGUUUCUCUCAUGAGGGCGAUGCACGAGAAGGAGAAGCGGCGGAUGACGCGGGGCAAGUUCUUCCUGAUCGCGCUCAUCUGCAGCUUCGCGUGGUACACGGUGCCGGGGUACCUGUUCCCGACGCUGACGGCCGUGUCGUGGGUGUGCUGGGUGUUCCCCAAGUCCAUCACCAUGCAGCAGAUCGGGUCCGGCCUCAACGGGCUCGGCAUCGGCGCCUUCACCCUCGACUGGGCCACGGUGGUCUCCUGGCUGGGGAGCCCGCUGGUGACGCCCUUCUUCGCCACCGCCAACGUCCUCGUCGGCUACGUCCUGCUCAUCUACCUCAUGCUGCCCAUCGCCUACUGGGUGAUCAACCUCUACAGCGCCAGCAGCUACCCGCUCUUCUCCAACGAGCUCUUCGACGCCCACGGCCAGCUCUACGACAUCCACUCCAUCGUCAACGACAAGUUCGAGAUCGACAUGGACGCCUACGCGCGGCAGGGCAGGAUCCACCUCAGCCUCUUCUUCGCCGUCAGCUACGGCCUCGGCUUCGCCACCAUCGCCGCCACCUUCACCCACGUCGCAUGCUUCUACGGCAAGGAGAUGUACCAGAGGUUCCGGGAGUCGUACAAGGGCAAGAUGGACGUGCACGCGAGGCUCAUGAAGAGGUACGACGACAUACCGAACUGGUGGUUCUACAUCCUGCUCGCGGUGUCCAUGGCGGUAUCCUUGGUCCUCUGCACCGUGUUCAAGGAGGAGGUGCAGCUGCCGUGGUGGGGCCUCCUCAUUGCCUGCGCCAUAGCCUUCGUCUUCACGCUCCCCAUUAGCGUCAUCACCGCGACCACAAACACGACGCCGGGGUUGAAUAUCAUCACGGAGUAUUGCUGGGGUCUGAUCAUGCCGGGGAAGCCCAUCGCCAACGUGUGCUUCAAGGUGUACGGCUACAUGAGCAUGAACCAGGCCGUCUCCUUCCUCACCGACUUCAAGCUCGGCCACUACAUGAAGAUCCCCCCAAGAUCCAUGUUCCUGGUGCAGUUCGUGGGGACGGUGGUGGCGUCGACGGUGAACACGGUGGUGGCGUGGUGGCUGCUGACCACCGUGCCGCACAUCUGCGAGAAGGGCCAGCUCCCGGAGGGCAGCCCGUGGACGUGCCCGGGCGACCACGUCUUCUUCGACGCGUCCGUGAUCUGGGGCCUCGUCGGCCCGCGCCGCAUCUUCGGGCCGCUCGGCUACUACUCGGCGCUCAACUGGUUCUUCCUCAUCGGGCUAGCCGGGCCGGUGGUGGUGUGGCUCUUCGCCAAGGCGCUGCCGCGGCACGCCGGCUGGAUCAGCCUCAUCAACCUGCCCGUCAUCCUGGGGGGCACGGCCAUGAUGCCGCCGGCGUCGGCGCUCAACUACACGGCGUGGGGCUUCGUCGGCUUUGUGUUCAACUUUUUCGUGUUCCGGUACCGCAAGGGGUGGUGGAAGCGGUACAACUACGUGCUGUCGGCGGCCAUGGACGGCGGCGUGGCCAUCAUGGGGGUGCUCCUCUACUUCGCGCUCACCAGCUGGGGCCACCAGCUCGACUGGUGGGGCUCCAGGGGCGAGUACUGCGACCUCGCCGCCUGCCCCACCGCCAAGGGCGUGCUGGUGGACGGAUGCCCCGUCCUCUGA